GUGGGGAAUAUUGGGCAAUGGGGGAAACCCUGACCCAGCAACGCCGCGUGAAGGACGAAGGCCUUCGGGUUGUAAACUUCUUUGAUCAGGGACGAAACAAAUGACGGUACCUGAGGAACAAGCCACGGCUAACUACGUGCCAGCAGCCGCGGUAAUACGUAGGUGGCAAGCGUUAUCCGGAUUUACUGGGUGUAAAGGGCGUGUAGGCGGUCUUGCAAGUCGGAAGUGAAAUUCCCGGGCUUAACCCGGGCGCUGAUCCCGAAACUGCGAGACUUGAGUACUGGAGAGGAUAGUGGAAUUCCUAGUGUAGCGGUAAAAUGCGUAGAUAUUAGGAGGAACACCAGUGGCGAAGGCGGCUAUCUGGACAGUAACUGACGCUGAGGCGCGAAAGCGUGGGGAGCAAACAGGAUUAGAUACCCCUGUAGUCC
rnacentral:rRNA from 1 species